AGCUGCUCUUGUGGCAGGGCUGGUUAAGCAUGUGGUUCAGAACAUAACCAGCAUGGAGCCUUUGGCGUGAACUCCCACCUGCAGUCGUCUGGCUGUGUGGACGUGUCCCUGCAGGCAGACAGCACCAGAGACCGGGUGAAUGGUACCUCCAAAAGGGAACAUGGAAGAUUGCAGAAACUUCCGUGGACAACUUCCUGAAGGAAAGAGGAAGAUUUGGCAUUGUGCCUGGUAAAAGGAAUAGGAUUUAUCUGAACAGAAAGAAGGCGAAGUUGCUCCAGGAGUGGACGAAUGGCCAUACAUAGAAAACCAGUUUAAGGGCCUUUGCAAGUCCCGGCAGAGCAGCAGAAGAGCUUGAGGACAGCUGGAGGAACCCAGCCAAGGAAAUGGAGGAGAGUGGGCCAGCCUACAGUUUUGACCCUGGCUAGCAUUUUUGCUUAUGUUACUAAGGCGAGAGUGAAACAAUGAAGACUGCGUCAGAGCUUCCCCUUCAUCAGCACUAACGGGUCAGAAUCCUUGCACAACUGGGUACUGUUGACUCCUAGAAGCAUAUUUCUUUGAUUCCUUGUGCUGUUCAUUAUAUAACAGCUAUGGAUGUAACGUGUGUGUGUGGGGGGGUGCCUGCAUAUGUGUAUACACCAGCACACUGGCCUACCUGGGCAUGUGUGAAGGCCAGAGGUUGACGCUGGGUAUCUUCCUCGCUCACUUUGCCUUAUCUAUAAUCCUUUACCUGAACCUGGAGCUUGCUAUUUUCGACAGACUGGCUGGUCAGCGACCCGGGGAUCUUCCCAUCUCUACCCUCCACCAUUGGUGGUUACAGAUGAGCUACAGCCACAUCCAGUUUUCAUGAGGGUCUGGGGAUCUGAACUCAAGUCCUCAUGCCUGUGCAGCAAGCGCUUUACCCACUGAACCGUCUCCCCAAGCCUCAGCAUACUCUUUAAAAAGAAAAACAAACAAAUCUACACUCCCCGCUUUUCUCCUGCCUUACAUUGACACAGUACGACAAUGUGGAUCUUGGAUGUCCUUCAGGGUGCUGCUGCUGCUUGGAGACCGUGGAGCAUUUCAAAGGGGAGGACCUACUGGGAAGACCAUAGGACUGGGGUUGUACCUAUGAAUUGAAUUUGGGGAGCUAAGUUUUUGCCUCUGGGCCAUGAAAUGAACAAUUUGCUUCCAUUUUCUCCCUGCCAUUGCCAUCUGGUACU